CUGAGAGGAUGACCAGCCACACUGGAACUGAGACACGGUCCAGACUCCUACGGGAGGCAGCAGUGGGGAAUAUUGCACAAUGGGCGCAAGCCUGAUGCAGCCAUGCCGCGUGUAUGAAGAAGGCCUUCGGGUUGUAAAGUACUUUCAGCGGGGAGGAAGGUGUUGUGGUUAAUAACCGCAGCAAUUGACGUUACCCGCAGAAGAAGCACCGGCUAACUCCGUGCCAGCAGCCGCGGUAAUACGGAGGGUGCAAGCGUUAAUCGGAAUUACUGGGCGUAAAGCGCACGCAGGCG
rnacentral:rRNA from 1 species